UAACCCCCGACGUACAAGCACUUUUAAAUUUACAUUGGUAGAUAUACAUCGUAUACGCAGUUUGGUCGAUCAUUUUUCAAAACUUCAACUUCUUAAAAGUUUAUCAGUCAGACGAAAGAAUGUCAGCCGAUCCACGUUUGACCCUACUUCAAGUCUCGCUGUAGAUAAGGAGCUACGUAUAAAGUUCGUAAGCCAAGUAUACCGCAGAUGGUAUAUGGUGUAUACGACUUUAAAAGAAUUGCAACGUUUUGAUAAAUAAUAAACAUAUAUAAUAUUUGAUUAUGUAUAUUAUAAAUAUUAUUAUUUUUAUUGUAGCUACUAUAUUAUUAUUAUAUAUGCAUAUAUGUUUUAGUUAUUCCAAAUAUGUUUUACUUAAUCAUUUCAGAUUUGCGAUUGAAAUCUUUUGUUUAUAUAAUUAGACGUGUUAUGAUAUAUAAUUAUAUCAUGAGAAGGCGAUACAAAAAUCAGUCGAAAACACAUAUUGAUAAUUUUAGCAAGAUUUUUGAGAUUAGUCUUUGGUACUUCCCAUCAUCGUGAAGAAAUGCAACACUUUCAAAAAUGACCUGGAAACCAGAAAGAGCCUAGCAAGACACCUCAAAGCCUAGUUUAUACUUUACGUUUCUGCAAUCACCACGAGAGUUAUACCUUGAUGAAUGUCUGGAGAUUCGUUUCACAUGAGAAAAUUCUUUAAACAAUCAUCCCGUUCAUAGCAAAAUACUAGAAGUUUCGUUGAAAAGAUCUUUUAAGAUUACAAAAUUUACGUUUCCAUGUAUUGAUAUUAUAAAGAUCAAAACAAAAAAAAAUAUUUUAAACAAAUUUUCGAAAA